CGAAUCAGAAGAGGAGCGUUAACCAGGUAGUCAAUGUGCGGAGCCCUAAACUCCAAUGUACCUUGACCAGGGGGUUAACGCUGAGACAAAACGCGUUUUGGGACGCGAUUGUCGGCCUAGAAAGUUGAUUCUUUCGGGCCGUCACCUGUGCGGCACAGGUGGAGAGCUUCUGGUAGA
rfam:Photobacterium damselae subsp. damselae CIP 102761 Contig57, whole genome shotgun sequence.